ACGAAGCCCUAGCUCGGGUCGUGGUCCUAUAGGAUCGUACCUCUGUAUCCCUAAGCAAUAAGGAGACAGGAACUUAUGCCUGGUGGAGGAAUGAGGACCGUGUGAUCAGAGCGUGAUUAAUGGCUUUGGUCGAUAUCUGAUCUCUUAAAGCUGUAGAGUAUCGUUCCCAAUGAGCUAUUCUGACUGCGGUGGUCUCAUGGUUGUCUGAAAGGCU